GCCGUGCCCGGCGCUCAAACUUGGCCCCAACUCUUUGUCCGUCUCUCGGGCGCCCGUGCGGGGAAGGGACCGGGAAGGGAGGGAUGCAGUGGGGUGUCCGGAUCGGGGCUGCGGGCUGGGCGCCGCCCGGCCAUGCGCCUGCCCAGAAGGCUGGGCAUCCGUGGAGAGGGAAAGCCCAUUUUAUCCCUCUCUUUACAACGAGGUAAAAUAAGUUGUUUAGAGGCCAUUCUUCACGGAGACCGGCUGCCCGCUGGCGUCGCGUGCCCUUGGACAGAGCGAGCGCCUAUGCGAGAUAACUCCGGGGAAGCUCAAAGUCAGGUCAGCCGGGCUCAGCCUUCCGGCUCCUGACUGGCCGGAGUUUGGCCUUUGAGACUCAUAUUGCGCGCUCGCUCUCUCUCUCUCUUACACACACACACACAAACACACACACACUCACACUCACCCGUCCCCUUACGAAAUCUGACCUCUGUUUAUCAGGGUCAGGCGCGCCCUUUGCACUUUUACGUUUCCUUUAAUUAUUUCGGACUUGAUCGUGGCAGGGAGCAAGGGGGAAAAACAAUACCCCAGCCCUCACCAGCUACCCUCGAAGGGUUAAAUUUUAAACCGCGGUUUCUGGAACUAGUCCGGAAACGCAGAGUGGGGGGUGGGGUGGGGGAGGCUGCUCCCCCCACCCCCAGUUGCAAAUGCUAAUAAGUAGUUCAAAUUUCUAGAUUGAUUCUCUAAAAGUUUAUGCAAAAAAGAAAUAAAAAAGAAAAAGAAAAAAGAAGGAAACCAACAACUAACUCUGUUUCUAAGAUUUUAAAGCGAUAGGCAAGUCGAAGAAGCAGAGAUUUAUUUGGAGAGAAAGCUCCUGAAACCGACCCAGCCUUUGGAAGACCAGCCCGUCUGCUUAGAAGUUGGGACUGUUGAUUCCUUCAAUUAAUGAAAUGCAUUUGGUGUUUUUAAUCGUAUUUAUUUUACUUUAUGAGAAGGGGGAGACGCUAGGAGGGUGCAUUAAAAAAAAAAAAAAAUUCUGAAAAGCCUGCAAAAGGAUCGAAGAGUGGAAACUAUUGUUGGAGCGAGUUGGUUUUUACCUCAACAGCGCCACCUUUCGGCAAAGGUUUCUUCCUUGGAAAACAAUAUACAUCACUUAAUGAAAUCUUUGUUUGUUUUGCACAAGAGAUGUAAAAAAUCCAGAUGUUUUCUUCAGUGAGAAUUCCUGGGAAGGUGUACCAGCCUUCUUCUCUUUCUUCACCUGACAAAGACACCCAACACGGCCUCUCAGACCGGAGGUGUUUAAUAUAUAGUUUUGACACGCAUGAACAUGGGAAUGAAAGGGCUCCUUUUGGUUUUAGACAAUAGACAGAGCUAUAAAAUGAUGAUGGAGCCUGUUUUCCCCACUCUUGUCAUUUUAAGUCAAUAGAUUUCCUGGGUUUCUUCCCCCGCCCCCCCACUUUGCCUUUUCAGGGGAUAGGCAUCUCCUUAGAUUUUUGUUUUUCUUCACUUAGGGUCAGCUUUAUGAUUCGUUCUUCUGCUGUCAUCCUUUUUCAUCCUAUUCACAGCCUGUACCGGUGAGGGAAUUUGUCUCAAAAGCAUUCAGCCCUUCAAAGAUUUUUAUUGUGGUGAACUCAGAACUGAUAAACAGAAAAACAGAAACAGAAAAAGGGAACUGAUAUGGGGGCGAUCUUGAUGCGGGUUGUGUCUCUCAUGCAUGAUAACUCAGAGGACAGGCUCCUCGGUAGUGCGGUAGUGCUAACUCUGUGAAGUUUCUUCACCCUCCUUCCUAGCCCUGGAGGCGGGGUGAUUCAUAGCUCCUGUUCCAAAGGCAUUCAGCAGCCAUUCGACCUGGGAAAGAAACAGAGUUUUAGAAAAUACAGGCCAAAUGUAGAGACGCCUGUGAUUACCAGGAUGAGUAUGUCAGUGCAGGUGGCUUCUGAAUUUCUGUUUCUGAGUUUGUUUGGCUGAUGCCUAAGGAAAGGGGUCCCUUACAGCCCUGUUUUAUACCUUAGUUCUUGGUGGCAACGUGGGUGUUGCUGAUCUCUCUGAUGUGUUUUUCUGUGCACUGAAAACACCAGACAUGCUCCGUGACAUCCUCGGAGCAUCUCCCAUCAUAAUGGAGUGUUCCUAACCUGACAAAGAAUAGCAUAUUACCUCCCCAUCUACUCAAAAUAAAAUUAUAGUAAAAUUUA
rnacentral:lncRNA from 1 species